UAGGUUUUUGUUUCACCAUUUUAGUUUAGACUCCCCAUUUUAUUUUGAGUUGUGCAUUGUUAUUUGUGCUUGAGAAACAUUCCACUUGAACUUUAUAUUUUAAUGAACUUAGAAGUAAUUAUUGUCCUAUAUUUCUUUCCGAUUUCACAGCUGCCUGGUACUAGCAGCAAGAACCUCCAUCUGUGCCUGCCCCCAGGUCAAGAUCUACCGUGGCUCAAGGGCCUCCACCACAGCCAUCACGAUCAACCCAGCCAGCAAAGAAGUCUCUCCUAGCAGACAUACCUCCCACACAGCCGCCAGCAUCAACCUGGGCCAAUCACACCUAGCUCCCUCCGACACAGCCACCAGCAGCCCAUGCACCAUCACCCCCACCUACACAGCAGCCAGACCCACUGUCCUGGAAGACAGA